rnacentral:lncRNA from 1 species
CAGAGUUCACCAGCUUUUAUUGCCGGGACUGACAGAUGUCAAGGGGAUCACUGGAUUCCAGGAUUGACAGGAUGGAACGCUCAUAAAUAGGAGGAAGAAUGCGGGUGACAUUCCCAAGACUGCAGCAAAUGUCGGCCAAGUGAAAAACACACAGAAUGUCCUGAAGAUCCAGCGACGUCCUGAAUGUGACGCGUUCCAGUUCACAAAAGAGGAGUCACAAAAUGUUUACAAACCUUUACCAUCCCAUUGAAAUGGACCUUCACAUUUUCCUCAAAAAUAGCUUUCUAAAACUGUUACUGGUUUACAUUAAUUUUACCUUUCUUCUUUUUUUCCCCUUUUUCUUUCUUAUUUUAGAAAUAAAGUAAUA